rnacentral:RNase_P_RNA from 1 species
GCGAUGAACCAGACUGCCGCAGGGGGUGGGGAAUUGCCGCCGUCCCCCUGAGGAAAGUCCGGGCUCCGCAGGGCAUGAUGCCGGGUAAUACCCGGGCGGAAAGGGCGAAAGCCCUUUUUGACAGACAGCGCAACAGAAAGCAAACCGCCGUUUUGGUUUUCGGCUUACCCGGAAACCCGGACGGUAAGGGUGAAAGGGCGGGGUAAGAGCCCACCUCGGCGGCGGCAACGCCGCCGGAAAGAUUUCGGCGCGUCCGGGAAAUGGAACGGUUGCCCCAGGGUAAUCAUUUCAUUCAUCCGGGUUCGCCGAAAAACGGCAAGCCUCAUCAGGAGCAAAGUCAAGCAGCGGUUGAACGGCCCGUUUCAUACCGCGGGUAGACUGCGUGGAUACCAUCCGUAAGGAUCGCGCAAGAUAGAUGGCAGUUUGAUAUUGAAACUUCCCAGGAUGUUUUAAUGUCACAGAACCCGGCUUACCGGUUCAUCGCUUUU